ACACAGGUAGUCAAGAUGAGAAUUCUAAGGUGAGCGAGCGAACUCUCGUUAAGGAACUCGGCAAAAUGACCCCGUAACUUCGGGAGAAGGGGUGCUCUUUAGGGUUAACGCCCAGAAGAGCCGCAGUGAAUAGGCCCAAGCGACUGUUUAUCAAAAACACAGGUCUCUGCUAAACCGUAAGGUGAUGUAUAGGGGCUGACGCCUGCCCGGUGCUGGAAGGUUAAGAGGAGUGGUUAGCUUCUGCGAAGCUACGAAUCGAAGCCCCAGUAAACGGCGGCCGUAACUAUAACGGUCCUAAGGUAGCGAAAUUCCUUGUCGGGUAAGUUCCGACCCGCACGAAAGGCGUAACGAUUUGGGCACUGUCUCAACGAGAGACUCGGUGAAAUCAUAGUACCUGUGAAGAUGCAGGUUACCCGCGACAGGACGGAAAGACCCCGUGGAGCUUUACUGUAGCCUGAUAUUGAAAUUCGGCACAGCUUGUACAGGAUAGGUAGGAGCCUUUGAAACGUGAGCGCUAGCUUACGUGGAGGCGCUGGUGGGAUACUACCCUAGCUGUGUUGGCUUUCUAACCCGCACCACUUA
rnacentral:rRNA from 1 species